GUGUCUUCGUAAGACAGAACUGUCAGGCUUUUUGGUCAGUUAGUAGCCAGUGAGGUAUGCAAUUCUUUUCUGCAACUGCUGCUGCCGGCAUCGGAGCUGUCUUUUCUCUGUAGCCAUCCUCUUCUCAGCCCCCACCAGGGCUUGCAAGUAUUCCAAGGCCUUGCUUAGGAUCACUACUUUGGGGGCCUUGGAGCAGCUGGCCAGGGUGGGCACCUGGUCCCUCAGCGCCAAGAAUCGCGAACGCAGGUCAUUCCGCCUCUUGCGCUCCAGGAAGUUGUGAUUCUUCCUCUUGGUCACAUCCUCAGUAUCAGAACUGACAGGUUUGGGGUGGCAGGACUGGGCAGCCUCACUUUCUACAGGUGGGGGACUCACAAUCUCUUCAUCCUCCUCAUCUUCCUUUUCCCCUGCAGCAUCUCUCUCCAGAACCUCUUCUUGGGGACCCCUCUCUGAAGCCUCUUCUUGGGAGCAGCUUUCUGGAGGAAAACGGGCAGCAUAGUUGUGCUGUUGCUGAUGGAUGGAGAUGUGGAAAUGCUUCAUGCAGGGAUCCAGGGGGUCUGCUCGCACCGUGAUGGUGACCGGCUUCCGAAUACCCAGAGACUGCCUCUUCUCUACUGUCACAACAUCAAUUUCUUCAUUCUCUGUCCGAGAAAAGAGAUCAAGAGAAGAAACACAUCCCAUGAGAAACACAAACAUAGACCCUACAGCUUUAGCUGUCUACGCUGGUGCUUGGGAAGGUCGCCUGCCCCACCUCCUUCCCUGGACUAGAAGGUUAGAUUUGUAAUCAUAGGUCGGCGAAGCUGCAGGAACUUCACAAAGGUACAAGCGACCAUUUCCAAACUACCUGCACCAGAGGCAGAGACUGGGCAGCAGAAUGUCCCAGAUAUGGGGCUCAUAACACCAGAGACCUGGAGACACCUGGACACGCCCUUCUCAUUCACUGGCUUGAAGGUCUCUUAGGUUAACCUAACCAGGAGAGGGGCAAUUGGGAGAAAAGUCUCCUCCUGCUCCACACAUUUUGCAGCCUCCACACAGAAGUCCACCUUAAUGGAUCUCGGCCUCGCAAAGGAAGAGCUCCGUUCUCAGCUUCUUUGCAUAUCAGGAAGCUUGAGCCCCUUUGUCAGGAAGGCUUCCAUUGUGUGGACAAUCGCAUUAUUUCUCCAUUAAUAAACCUGACCAUUCAGCCCUCCUGGCCCCAAAGCCCAUGAUUGGCU
rnacentral:lncRNA from 1 species